UGGUGGGUAGUUUGACUGGGGCGGUCUCCUCCUAAAGAGUAACGGAGGAGCACGAAGGUUGGCUAAUCCUGGUCGGACAUCAGGAGGUUAGUGCAAUGGCAUAAGCCAGCUUGACUGCGAGCGUGACGGCGCGAGCAGGUGCGAAAGCAGGUCAUAGUGAUCCGGUGGUUCUGAAUGGAAGGGCCAUCGCUCAACGGAUAAAAGGUACUCCGGGGAUAACAGGCUGAUACCGCCCAAGAGUUCAUAUCGACGGCGGUGUUUGGCACCUCGAUGUCGGCUCAUCACAUCCUGGGGCUGAAGUAGGUCCCAAGGGUAUGGCUGUUCGCCAUUUAAAGUGGUACGCGAGCUGGGUUUAGAACGUCGUGAGACAGUUCGGUCCCUAUCUGCCGUGGGCGCUGGAGAACUGAGGGGGGCUGCUCCUAGUACGAGAGGACCGGAGUGGACGCAUCACUGGUGUUCGGGUUGUCAUGCCAAUGGCACUGCCCGGUAGCUAAAUGCGGAAGAGAUAAGUGCUGAAAGCAUCUAAGCACGAAACUUGCCCCGAGAUGAGUUCUCCCUGAGACUUUGAGUCUCCUGAAGGAACGUUGAAGACGACGACGUUGAUAGGCCGGGUGUGUAAGCGCAGCGAUGCGUUGAGCUAACCGGUACUAAUGAACCGUGAGGCUUAACCUUACAACGCCGAAGCUGUU
rnacentral:rRNA from 1 species